CGAUGAACCUCACUUCGGGAGGGGAUUAGUGGCGAACGGGUGAGUAACACGUGGGCAAUCUGCCCUGCACUCUGGGACAAGCCCUGGAAACGGGGUCUAAUACCGGAUAUGAGCCUGGGAGGCAUCUCCCGGGUUGUAAAGCUCCGGCGGUGCAGGAUGAGCCCGCGGCCUAUCAGCUUGUUGGUGAGGUAACGGCUCACCAAGGCGACGACGGGUAGCCGGCCUGAGAGGGCGACCGGCCACACUGGGACUGAGACACGGCCCAGACUCAUACGGGAGGCAGCAGUGGGGAAUAUUGCACAAUGGGCGCAAGCCUGAUGCAGCGACGCCGCGUGAGGGAUGACGGCCUUCGGGUUGUAAACCUCUUUCAGCAGGGAAGAAGCGAAAGUGACGGUACCUGCAGAAGAAGCGCCGGCUAACUACGUGCCAGCAGCCGCGGUAAUACGUAGGGCGCAAGCGUUGUCCGGAAUUAUUGGGCGUAAAGAGCUCGUAGGCGGCUUGUCACGUCGGAUGUGAAAGCCCGGGGCUUAACCCCGGGUCUGCAUUCGAUACGGGCAGGCUAGAGUUCGGUAGGGGAGAUCGGAAUUCCUGGUGUAGCGGUGAAAUGCGCAGAUAUCAGGAGGAACACCGGUGGCGAAGGCGGAUCUCUGGGCCGAUACUGACGCUGAGGAGCGAAAGCGUGGGGAGCGAACAGGAUUAGAUACCCUGGUAGUCCACGCCGUAAACGGUGGGCACUAGGUGUGGGCAACAUUCCACGUUGUCCGUGCCGCAGCUAACGCAUUAAGUGCCCCGCCUGGGGAGUAC
rnacentral:rRNA from 1 species